AUUGAACGCUGGCGGCAGGCCUAACACAUGCCAGUCGAGCGGAUGAAGGGAGCUUGCUCCUGGAUUCAGCGGCGGACGGGUGAGUAAUGCCUAGGAAUCUGCCUGGUAGUGGGGGAUAACGUCCGGAAACGGGCGCUAAUACCGCAUACGUCCUGAGGGAGAAAGUGGGGGAUCUUCGGACCUCACGCUAUCAGAUGAGCCUAGGUCGGAUUAGCUAGUUGGUGGGGUAAAGGCCUACCAAGGCGACGAUCCGUAACUGGUCUGAGAGGAUGAUCAGUCACACUGGAACUGAGACACGGUCCAGACUACUACGGGAGGCAGCAGUGGGGAAUAUUAGACAAUGGGCGAAAGCCUGAUCCAGCCAUGCCGCGUGUGUGAAGAAGGUCUUCGGAUUGUAAAGCACUUUAAGUUGGGAGGAAGGGCAGUAAGUUAAUACCUUGCUGUUUUGACGUUACCAACAGAAUAAGCACCGGCUAACUUCGUG
rnacentral:rRNA from 1 species